rnacentral:tRNA from 1 species
GGUUUGUAGCUCAGUGAUAGAAUGCUUGCCUAGCAUGUGUGAGGCACUGGGUUCGAUCCUCAGCACCA